CAUGCAGCGGAACACGCCCUCCUUCAGAGGCAGGUCAGGGGUGGGCGCCAGCACACAGGAUGAGCCAGAGAUGGUGCAAGGAUAUUGCUUGAUGCAGUUGUCUUUCUCCCAGCGGAUUCUCUGGUGAGCAAGUGAUGAUCAUUUUGGAUAACCUGAGGUCACUUUUUGACUUCCCAUCUGCUUACCAAGCAUUGGAGAAGAUGCCGUAUAUCAAACCAAUGCGUAGAUGAGAGGACAGAACGAAAGCCUGCUUGAAGUUGUUGUACUGUACAGGAGUU